AAAAAAAAAUAUGUGGGUUUCCGGUUUCUUCUUAUAAAAACUUAGGUAGGGUAGGUCGGUUUUAACUUUUUUUUUAAACUUUUUUUUUAAUUUUCCGAACAAGCGGACGCCAUUUUGUUUAGUCAGUGCUUCCACAUCCAAAGAUGAAUUUCCCUAAUAUUGCCUCAAAUUUCAAUUUUCCACAAACUUUUUCCUCUAAGUGGAAACACUUACAAGCAUGAUCCAAUAAAAAAGUUUAGGGUCGGGAUUUCGACGUCCGAAAGCUAGGUAGGGUCGGGAAACCGGAAAUCCACAUAUUUUUUUUUGGCCUA